rnacentral:rRNA from 1 species
GGGUUGUGAGGUUAAGCGACUAAGCGUACACGGUGGAUGCCCUGGCAGUCAGAGGCGAUGAAGGACGUGCUAAUCUGCGAUAAGCGUCGGUAAGGUGAUAUGAACCGUUAUAACCGGCGAUUUCCGAAUGGGGAAACCCAGUGUGAUUCGUCACACUAUCAUUAACUGAAUCCAUAGGUUAAUGAGGCGAACCGGGGGAACUGAAACAUCUAAGUACCCCGAGGAAAAGAAAUCAACCGAGAUUCCCCCAGUAGCGGCGAGCGAACGGGGAGGAGCCCAGAGCCUGAAUCAGUGUGUGUGUUAGUGGAAGCGUCUGGAAAGGCGCGCGAUACAGGGUGACAGCCCCGUACACAAAAAUGCACAUACUGUGAGCUCGAUGAGUAGGGCGGGACACGUGGUAUCCUGUCUGAAUAUGGGGGGACCAUCCUCCAAGGCUAAAUACUCCUGACUGACCGAUAGUGAACCAGUACCGUGAGGGAAAGGCGAAAAGAACCCCGGCGAGGGGAGUGAAAAAGAACCUGAAACCGUGUACGUACAAGCAGUGGGAGCCUCUUUAUGGGGUGACUGCGUACCUUUUGUAUAAUGGGUCAGCGACUUAUAUUCUGUAGCAAGGUUAACCGAAUAGGGGAGCCGAAGGGAAACCGAGUCUUAACUGGGCGUUAAGUUGCAGGGUAUAGACCCGAAACCCGGUGAUCUAGCCAUGGGCAGGUUGAAGGUUGGGUAACACUAACUGGAGGACCGAACCGACUAAUGUUGAAAAAUUAGCGGAUGACUUGUGGCUGGGGGUGAAAGGCCAAUCAAACCGGGAGAUAGCUGGUUCUCCCCGAAAGCUAUUUAGGUAGCGCCUCGUGAAUUCAUCUCCGGGGGUAGAGCACUGUUUCGGCAAGGGGGUCAUCCCGACUUACCAACCCGAUGCAAACUGCGAAUACCGGAGAAUGUUAUCACGGGAGACACACGGCGGGUGCUAACGUCCGUCGUGAAGAGGGAAACAACCCAGACCGCCAGCUAAGGUCCCAAAGUCAUGGUUAAGUGGGAAACGAUGUGGGAAGGCCCAGACAGCCAGGAUGUUGGCUUAGAAGCAGCCAUCAUUUAAAGAAAGCGUAAUAGCUCACUGGUCGAGUCGGCCUGCGCGGAAGAUGUAACGGGGCUAAACCAUGCACCGAAGCUGCGGCAGCGACGCUUAUGCGUUGUUGGGUAGGGGAGCGUUCUGUAAGCCUGCGAAGGUGUGCUGUGAGGCAUGCUGGAGGUAUCAGAAGUGCGAAUGCUGACAUAAGUAACGAUAAAGCGGGUGAAAAGCCCGCUCGCCGGAAGACCAAGGGUUCCUGUCCAACGUUAAUCGGGGCAGGGUGAGUCGACCCCUAAGGCGAGGCCGAAAGGCGUAGUCGAUGGGAAACAGGUUAAUAUUCCUGUACUUGGUGUUACUGCGAAGGGGGGACGGAGAAGGCUAUGUUGGCCGGGCGACGGUUGUCCCGGUUUAAGCGUGUAGGCUGGUUUUCCAGGCAAAUCCGGAAAAUCAAGGCUGAGGCGUGAUGACGAGGCACUACGGUGCUGAAGCAACAAAUGCCCUGCUUCCAGGAAAAGCCUCUAAGCAUCAGGUAACAACAAAUCGUACCCCAAACCGACACAGGUGGUCAGGUAGAGAAUACCAAGGCGCUUGAGAGAACUCGGGUGAAGGAACUAGGCAAAAUGGUGCCGUAACUUCGGGAGAAGGCACGCUGAUAUGUAGGUGAAGCGACUUGCUCGUGGAGCUGAAAUCAGUCGAAGAUACCAGCUGGCUGCAACUGUUUAUUAAAAACACAGCACUGUGCAAACACGAAAGUGGACGUAUACGGUGUGACGCCUGCCCGGUGCCGGAAGGUUAAUUGAUGGGGUUAGCGGUAACGCGAAGCUCUUGAUCGAAGCCCCGGUAAACGGCGGCCGUAACUAUAACGGUCCUAAGGUAGCGAAAUUCCUUGUCGGGUAAGUUCCGACCUGCACGAAUGGCGUAAUGAUGGCCAGGCUGUCUCCACCCGAGACUCAGUGAAAUUGAACUCGCUGUGAAGAUGCAGUGUACCCGCGGCAAGACGGAAAGACCCCGUGAACCUUUACUAUAGCUUGACACUGAACAUUGAGCCUUGAUGUGUAGGAUAGGUGGGAGGCUUUGAAGUGUGGACGCCAGUCUGCAUGGAGCCGGCCUUGAAAUACCACCCUUUAAUGUUUGAUGUUCUAACGUUGGCCCGUAAUCCGGGUUGCGGACAGUGUCUGGUGGGUAGUUUGACUGGGGCGGUCUCCUCCUAAAGAGUAACGGAGGAGCACGAAGGUUGGCUAAUCCUGGUCGGACAUCAGGAGGUUAGUGCAAUGGCAUAAGCCAGCUUGACUGCGAGCGUGACGGCGCGAGCAGGUGCGAAAGCAGGUCAUAGUGAUCCGGUGGUUCUGAAUGGAAGGGCCAUCGCUCAACGGAUAAAAGGUACUCCGGGGAUAACAGGCUGAUACCGCCCAAGAGUUCAUAUCGACGGCGGUGUUUGGCACCUCGAUGUCGGCUCAUCACAUCCUGGGGCUGAAGUAGGUCCCAAGGGUAUGGCUGUUCGCCAUUUAAAGUGGUACGCGAGCUGGGUUUAGAACGUCGUGAGACAGUUCGGUCCCUAUCUGCCGUGGGCGCUGGAGAACUGAGGGGGGCUGCUCCUAGUACGAGAGGACCGGAGUGGACGCAUCACUGGUGUUCGGGUUGUCAUGCCAAUGGCACUGCCCGGUAGCUAAAUGCGGAAGAGAUAAGUGCUGAAAGCAUCUAAGCACGAAACUUGCCCCGAGAUGAGUUCUCCCUGACCCUUUAAGGGUCCUGAAGGAACGUUGAAGACGACGACGUUGAUAGGCCGGGUGUGUAAGCGCAGCGAUGCGUUGAGCUAACCGGUACUAAUGAACCGUGAGGCUUAACCUUACAACGCCGAAGGUGUUU